AGGAGUACGUUGAUGAAGUUUGCGCCUGAAUGGGAAGAAUAAUUUCUCACAUCCAAUGUGUGAUGGCUGCUAUAGUUAUGAGACAAGUUCUUAAACAUGCCGUAAAAGAAGGGAAUGCAUCAACGACCUUUUAGCAUGAAUAGUUGGUCUCCCUGAGGAUUAGGAUUGAUCAUAGUAGAGGUAUAUCGUUACUCUUGAAAAUAUUUCACAAAUCAUUUUUUUUUUUCCAUAAACGUAACUACAAAUUUCAGAAGAUAUGAGAAGUUUGAUGUUCCAAUGGCCUACACUUAGAGCAACAAUGAUUGAUGUUGCAAUAGCUUGGUCUGCAAGUUUUUACCGCUACCAUUUGUUCUUGACUUCUUUCAUGGGUUUUGGUUAGUAUAUGCAGGUAACAAUUACUUUUCUUUUUGUUGAGCUCAAAAUAUAUACCACUCAUCAUAAAUACUGAUUUAUGUUUUUUUUCUUCCAUGUUCGGUGUUGAGGGAUUUGUUCUUUGGUUGGUUUACAAGAGGGAACUUUACUAUGAAAAAGGUAAGAAAUAUGGGCAAUCACCGACUCUUGAUAUCUAUCAAAUUCGUUUUCCUUAUCAUUCAUUGUGGUUUUGUUUUCUUUUCUUGUGUUGUAUUGAGGGCACUAAAUCUUUUAAAGGUAAGAAAUCGAGUUUAGAUUUGACAAUACUUGUCUAUUUUUUAUUUCUAUUAGAAUUCAAUCAUCACUCUGAUUUUGGUUCUACUUUCUUUGUUCGUCAAGGAAAACAUGAAUGCAGAUGUAUGGAUCUUGAACUUAGCUAACAAAUGUGUAUUUUCUAACAGGGAAGAAGCUUGGGAAAAAAAAGAACAAGAGAAGAUCAUGAUCAGCUAAAAUUGAGUAAUAUUGAUUUUUUUUAAUGAAUUAUGUUACUAUUUUGCAUCGUCUCUCCAUUUGAAUCUUUUUCAGGAUUGUGAAGUAGAGCAUGAACACGAGUAUUGGAAAUAUGUAGAGGAAGGAUAAACCUGAGAGAGACACUACUUUGCCAACCGAGAUAUGCCAGAAACUUGAAGACGAUUUGAGCUAGUGAUAUCAAUUAGAGGACCAGAUGGUCCAGAUUCAUCCAAUCAUUGAUAAAGAGCCCGUACCAACCUGAUAAACGAAGAUACAUCAAAACACGAAGAGUACCUGAUCAGCCUCUUCCACAUCUAGUUUAAACUGCAUACAUGCAUACAUGCAUACAUGCAUACAUUCAUAUAUGCAUACACAUGCAUAUAUCAUACAUUCAUGCAUAUAUUUGCUUUCUUGAUUUUUUUAUUAGAUCAUUGCUUGCUUCUUUAGUAC
rnacentral:sRNA from 1 species